rnacentral:rRNA from 1 species
GACAGAGGCCUCAAGCGUUAGGCGGAAUCACUGAGCUUAAAGCGUGUGUAGGCGGAUCGUUAAGUGUCUUGUGAAAUCCCACGGCUCACCCGUGGAACUGCUGGGCAUACUGGCGAUCUUGGGCCAACUAGGGGCAGCCGGAACAAGCGGUGGAGCGGUGAAAUGCGUAGAUAUCGCUUGGAACGCCGAAGGUGAAAACAGGCUGCUGGGGUUGUGCCGACGCUGAGACACGAAAGCCAGGGGAGCAAACGGG